UGGGGAAUUUUGGACAAUGGGCGAAAGCCUGAUCCAGCAAUGCCGCGUGUGUGAAGAAGGCCUUCGGGUUGUAAAGCACUUUUGUCCGGAAAGAAAUCCUUGGCUCUAAUACAGUCGGGGGAUGACGGUACCGGAAGAAUAAGCACCGGCUAACUACGUGCCAGCAGCCGCGGUAAUACGUAGGGUGCAAGCGUUAAUCGGAAUUACUGGGCGUAAAGCGUGCGCAGGCGGUUUGCUAAGACUGAUGUGAAAUCCCCGGGCUCAACCUGGGAACUGCAUUGGUGACUGGCAGGCUAGAGUAUGGCAGAGGGGGGUAGAAUUCCACUGUAGCAGUGAAAUGCGUAGAGAUGUGGAGGAAUACCGAUGGCGAAGGCAGCCCCCUGGGCCAAUACUGACGCUCAUGCACGAAAGCGUGGGGAGCAAACAGGAUUAGAUACCCUGGUAGUCCACGCCCUAAAACGAUGUCAACUAGUUGUUGGGGGAUUCAUUUCCUUAGUAACGUAGCUAACGCGUGAAGUUGACCGCCUGGGGAGUACGGUCGCAAGAUUAAAACUUAAAUGAAUUGACGGGGUCAUAGCUGUUUCCU
rnacentral:rRNA from 1 species